UACGUAGGGGGCAAGCGUUGUCCGGAAUCAUUGGGCGUAAAGAGCGUGUAGGCGGUUCGGUAAGUCGGCUGUGAAAGUCCAGGGCUCAACCUGGGAAUUGCAUUCGAGACUGAAUAGCUAGGGUACGGUAGAGGGAAGUGGAAUUUCCGGUGUAGCGGUGAAAUGCGUAGAUAUCGGAAGGAACAUCAGUGGCGAAAGCGACUUCCUGGACCAGUACCGACGUUCAGGCACGAAAGCGUGGGGAGCAAACAGG
rnacentral:rRNA from 1 species